GAAAGGUGUGCUAAUACCUGAUACGUCUGGAAUUAUACUUUGAAUCUAGAGAAAGGUGGCCUCUUCAUGAAAGCUACUGUGCGGGGAGGAGCUUGCGUACCAUUAGCUAGUUGGUAGGGUAAGGGCCUACCAAGGCGAUGAUGGUUAGCGGGUCUGAGAGGAUGAUCCGCCACACUGGAACUGGAACACGGACCAGACUCCUACGGGAGGCAGCAGUGAGGAAUAUUGCGCAAUGGGGGCAACCCUGACGCAGCGACGCCGCGUGGAUGAUGAAGGCCUUCGGGUUGUAAAAUCCUGUCAGAUGGGAAGAAGUGGUAGGUGGUUAAUAUCCAUCUACUUUGACGGUACCAUCAAAGGAAGCACCGGCUAACUCCGUGCCAGCAGCCGCGGUAAUACGGAGGGUGCAAGCGUUGUUCGGAAUUACUGGGCGUAAAGCGCGCGUAGGCGGCUAUCUAAGUCAGAUGUGAAAGCCCGCGGCUCAACCGUGGAAGUGCAUUUGAAACUGGAUAGCUUGAGUACUGGAGGGGGUAGUGG
rnacentral:rRNA from 1 species